rnacentral:rRNA from 1 species
AUGACGAACUAUAUCCUAGCAGCAAUAUCUGGGCCAGGCUAUGGCUCAUCCUCUAGACAGCUUGUUUCACAAUUGAUCUGGCCCAUAAUCUCUCUCUCUCUCUCUCUCUCUCUCUCUCUCUCUCUCUCUCUCUCUCUCUCUCUUCUUCCUCUCCGAAAAUCAUCAUUUCCCCGCCCAAACCCCACCCUUUCCCUCCCAAAAAAAUUCCCAAUCCCCAACCUUCGCGAACCUUCUCGAAGCGCCAAGCGGAGCUGCCCGAUGGCGGCGCCCCCACCGCUCUACCAUCCUGCCAUCGCCGUCGACGAAGACGACGACGGCUUCGAUUGGGAUGCGGCCGUGCGGGAGAUCGACAGCGCAUGCGCCCUUGCCUCAGCCUCCACGACCGCCGUGUCGACCUCAGCUCCGCCGCCCCCGCCCUCGGCCGCCCCGUCGUCGGGCCUCGCUCCCUCGGCCGCGGCGCCCUCCUUCCACGGGCUGUCCACGGGAGUCGCGCGGCAGUCGACGCUCGACCGCUUCGUGGACUCAUUCACCAGGAGGCAGGCGGCGAAGGAUAGGCCGCUCCCUGCGCCGUCGGUUCCUGUGGAGGUAGCAGUGCCGCCUGGCGGCGGCGGGGCGCACUUUGUGGACCGUGGCGAUGAGGGGUGCUCGCGGAAGGCGAGUGAGGAGAAGGUCGUGGAGCGGCCCCGCACUGCGGCGCUCGACCGCUUCGUCGACGCGUUCACCAGGAGGCAGGCUGCGAAGGAGAGGCCGCCCCCUGUACCUGGGGUUCCUGUGGCGGCAGCGGUGCCACCUGGUGGUGGCGGGGCGCACUUUGCUGUCCGUGGCGAUGAGGGGUGCUUGCGUAGGGGGAGCGAGGAGGAGGUUGCGGAGGGGUCCUGCACCGUGGCGCUCGACCACGAGGCAGUGCAGACGUGGAUCUAUCCGACUAAUGUGGAAGUCCGAGAGUACCAACGAUAUAUUGUCCAAAAGGCUUUGUUUACAAAUACACUAGUAGCCCUGCCAACUGGACUUGGCAAAACUUUUAUCGCAGCCGUGGUGAUGUAUAACUAUUUUAGAUGGUUUCCUGAAGGUAAAAUAGUAUUCACAGCCCCUUCGCGUCCUCUUGUCACUCAGCAAAUUGAGGCAUGCCACAAUACAGUGGGUAUACCACAGGAGUGGGCGAUUGAUAUGAAAGGGAAUCUAAGCCCUUCAACGAGAUCAAGCUUGUGGAAGUCUAAACGAGUGUUCUUUGUCACUCCACAGAUUCUUGAGAAUGACAUACAAUCUGGUAUAUGCAUGGUGAAACAACUUGUUUGCUUGGUGAUAGAUGAAGCUCAUAGAGCUUCGGGAAAUCAUGCUUACUGUGUUGCUGUUCGCCAGUUGGUGGCAGCUGGUGUGCCGCUAAGAAUUUUAGCUUUGACUGCUACACCAGGAUCAAAACAGCCAACUAUCCAAGCUGUCAUCAACAAUUUAUGCAUCUCAGAGUUGAUUCAUCGUGAUGAAAGUGAUCUUGAAGUCAAACGAUAUGUUAACACACGUACAGUUGAACUCUUAAAGGUUCCUGUUGGCAGUGACACAACUCAAGUCAAUGCUAUGAUUUUGGAUCUUAUAAAUACACAUGUUGUUCAGUUACGUGCUGCUGGGGUGAUUGAUAACAGGGAUGCUGCAAAUUGGAGCCCACAUCAGUUGCUUAUUUUAAGGACGAAAUUCAGCCAAGCACCUCCACCAAAUAUUCCUCUGGAAAAGAAAAAGGAAAUUCAUAAAUCUUUUGCAGCUCUCGUGUCACUUUGUCAUGUGAGUAAAAUGCUUUGGAGCCAUGGAAUCAAGCCAGCGCAUGAGUCAAUUAAAGCCAAGUUGAAAGAAGGGCACUCUUGGAAUUUUGCUUCAAAGAAUCAAACCUUUCGGGAUGCAAUGAAUAUGAUGCAGAAGAUCUCAUCUGAAGGCUUACCCAGUCCAAAGGUGCAGAAAUUGGCAGAAGUGUUGGUCGAUCACUUCCACAAAAAUGAUUCCAAGGACUCACGGGUGAUUAUCUUUUCAAAUUUCCGGGAAAGUGUCAAUGAGAUUCUCGGUUCAUUAAGAGACAGUGGUGGCGGACUUUUCAGACCUGCACAGUUCAUCGGUCAAAGCUCUACAGGUGACCGACUGAAGGGCCAGACACAGAAAAUGCAACAAGCUAUUUUACAGAAAUUUCGAGCUGGGGAAUACAAUAUUUUGGUGGCAACAUCAAUUGGUGAGGAAGGUCUAGAUAUUAUGGAGGUGGAUCUUGUGAUUUGUUUCGAUGCCAAUGUCUCUCCAUUAAGGAUGAUCCAACGAAUGGGAAGGACUGGGCGGAAGCACGAAGGACGAGUUGUGGUUUUGGCUUGUGAAGGACCAGAGCUGCAAGGGUACAUGAAGAAACAAGGAAGUGCUCGGACAAUGAAGAACCUUUUGCGUAAAGGGAACGCCUUUGAAUACCAUUCUAGUCCCAGGAUGGUUCCACAUGUCUAUAGCCCAGAAGUUAAAUAUGUUAAAUUAUCAAUAGAGAAGUAUGUCCAUUGCUCAAAGAAAAGAAAAGUUGAUGUGAGUGGCACACCACACAUUUUGAACAAAGUUUCAGAGGAAGAUGGCCUAUUGAUUGCUCAGUACUUCAGUUCAGGCAAAGAAGAUACUUGGAAGCCAUCACUUGUUGCGUUCCCUAGUUUCCAGGUUUCUCCAUGUGAUAUCUAUAGAGUGCCUCAUUCCUAUCGGACUACAGAUAUGCUAAUCGAUACUAUGCAACAACUUCAAGAUGUUUCUUUCUCUAAAACUAAGUGUGGAAGCCCUUUACAAGAACCCGCUGAUGUAGCAGCUUUUGAGGAUCAGGUGUUGGAUGGUUAUCACUUUUCUUCUGGAGAAGUGUCAUCGAGUAAAAGUGCUAGUGUGCCAAGUUCACUGGUCAACAAAUAUCCUCUCCACUCAUUCUUCAGUGGGGAAUAUGUAGCUGUGGAUGUUAGAGGCUACAUUUCAAUCACUUUUGUACCUGCCUUACCGAGGGUAUCUGAGUUCCAUAAGGAUACAAGGAACGUAAAUUGGGAACAUACAAUCCAGAACAAGACUACUUCAAAAUUGACAGCAGAUGCCAGUGGGCAAUUAACGGAUAGCGCUUAUUCGAUCUUUGCAGGCAAUGCAUUAAAUUCAGCUCCUCAUUUCCCUGAAUAUUCGGAGCAAUGUAACCAAGCUGAUGGCACACACAUACUUUCCCCCAGUACUCCAUCUAAAACGGUUACAAGUCCAAUAGAAAAAUGGGACACACCAUGCAAUGCUAAACUAGCAAGCCCAGUUUUGUCAGGUCAGGAAGACAUGGAACUUAGUCCUAGAUUAACUCAUUAUAUUGAAGAAGGAAUUGUGCCUGAGUCUCCAGUAGAGCAAUUAGAAAUAGACAGUGCUGCUGAUCUUGAUUUUGUUGCAAAGGUUAUUUCUUCAAAGUCACACAUUCAGGGAGCUGAACACAAUCGGCCAGAAUGUAGUGACGGGCCACUAAGCUUUGUGAGAGAAGGUCAAUUUCCUGCUGGUGUCACGGAACAUCAUGGUUCGUCAAGAGAGAAUAUCCUAGUUCAGACUCAAGCAGAAACAGAUGAGCCAAUGUGUUCUUCAAAGGCAAAAAUCUACUGCAGUCCUGCUGCUCAUACGCCCACAGCAAAUCUACUGUCUGAUAGUAUGUCUGAUGAUUGGCAGCCUAAGUCAAUAGGGAAUACAUCAGGAUCAGUACAGCAAUUACCGAAGUACAGAAGACUCCGCAAAUGCGGUGACAAGAUCAAACGAGUAUCCUCAUUGUCUUUGAAUGAAAGAUAUAAUGGAUCUGUAGGAGGACAAUGUGAUCAGAUGGAGCAUUAUGUUGGAAACAGAAGGAAAGCCAAGAGGUGUAUGGAUAUAUAUAUUGAUGAGGAAGUCGAAGUGUCUGAAGAUGCUGAUAUUUCACCGGAUGAGGAUGAUGAUCGGAGUGAAGAUAAAUAUGAAGAUAGCUUUAUUGACGAUCAGACAACUCCUACUGGCCAAUUCACUCAGAGUGAACAAGGUGGUGAAAACAGUAACACUAACGACAUGAUGGCUUUCUACAGGCGAUCACUACUUAGUCAGUCAACGGUAGUCCUGCCCUCGAGAUACCAAGAUGUCUCUGAUAAUUCUGUUUCCAGAGCUGGAAGUGCAAGCUGUUCAUCAGGGAACUUGCACAAUCCUAUCGAGACUCCACAAGGGAUUCCUCAAAUAUAUGGUACCACUGACCCAAGUCCUAUAGGUCACCAGCAAAUGUCCCUGGAGAGAGCCAGUUCGAUAAAGGAACAGGGUGAAGCAAGUGUGGUCAAUUGCGAAUCAACCACCAAACCAGAUAGCAGAAAGAGAAAACUAAGCUUCGAGCAAGCCGCCUCAAUCCCUGUCAUAAACCUUGAGCUGGAACCAGCACCACCUUCCUCACAUGUUGCUACUGAAGUCGGUAAUGACAUAUACUGGGAUGAUGCUUUCUUUGAGAACCUUGAUUUUGAUGCAAUUGAAGCACAAGCGGCCGAGCAACUUAGACUCCAGAAAGCACAAUCAGCACAAAAACCAACGGAAACUAAGCGAGCAUCUGAUGUCAGCUUCACGCCUCCAUCGUUUGAUCUUGGGAUCUGA